AGAGUUUGAUCCUGGCUCAGGACGAACGCUGGCGGCGUGCUUAACACAUGCAAGUCGAACGCGAAAGUUCCCUUCGGGGGGCGAGUAGAGUGGCGCACGGGUGAGUAACACGUAGGUAAUCUACCUUUGGAUUGGGAAUAACCACCGGAAACGGUGGCUAAUACCGAAUAAUGCAGCGGCACCUAAUGGUGACAGUUGUUAAAGCGGGGGAUCGCAAGACCUCGCGUCUGAAGAGGAGCCUGCGGCAGAUUAGCUAGUUGGUAAGGUAACGGCUUACCAAGGCGAUGAUCUGUAGCCGGCCUGAGAGGGCGGUCGGCCACACUGACACUGACAUACGGGUCAGACUCCUACGGGAGGCAGCAGUCGGGAAUUUUGGGCAAUGGGCGAAAGCCUGACCCAGCAACGCCGCGUGAAGGAUGAAAUCCCUCGGGAUGUAAACUUCGCAAGAACGGGAAGAAUAAGUAAGAGUUAAUAUCUCUUACGAUGACGGUACUGUUUGUAAGCUCCGGCUAACUCCGUGCCAGCCGCCGCGGUAAUAC
rnacentral:rRNA from 1 species